rnacentral:rRNA from 1 species
AGAACGAACGCUGGCGGCAUGCCUAACACAUGCAAGUCGAACGCUUCCGGGGCUUCGGUCGCGGAGGAGUGGCGCACGGGUGAGUAGCGCGUGGGAACCUGCCCUGUUGUGGGGGAUAACCGAGGGAAACUUCGGCUAAUACCGCAUACGCCCCGGGACUUGGUCUUCGGAUUAGGUCUGGGGGGAAAGAUUGAUCGCAGCAGGAGGGGCCCGCGUCGGAUUAGCUGGUUGGUGGGGUAACGGCUCACCAAGGCGAUGAUCCGUAGCUGGUCUGAGAGGAUGAUCAGCCACACUGGGACUGAGACACGGCCCAGACUCCUACGGGAGGCAGCAGUGGGGAAUAUUGGACAAUGGGGGCAACCCUGAUCCAGCAAUGCCGCGUGAGUGAUGAAGGCCUUAGGGUUGUAAAGCUCUUUCGCCCGCGACGAUGAUGACGGUAGCGGGAGAAGAAGCCCCGGCUAACUCGCGCCAGCAGCCGCGGU